GAGUUUGAUCCUGGCUCAGGAUGAACGCUAGCGGCAGGCCUAAUACAUGCAAGUCGGACGGUAGAUUACUUUCGGGUAGUUGAGAGUGGCGAACGGGUGCGUAACGCGUAUGCAACCUACCCUAUACAGGGGGAUAGCCCGGAGAAAUCUGGAUUAAUACCCCAUGGCACUAAGUUGAGGCAUUUUGAUUUAGUUAAAGAUUCAUCGGUAUAGGAUGGGCAUGCGUCUGAUUAGCUAGUUGGCGGUGUAACGGACCACCAAGGCGACGAUCAGUAGGAGUUCUGAGAGGAAGGUCCCCCACACUGGCACUGAGAUACGGGCCAGACUCCUACGGGAGGCAGCAGUAGGGAAUAUUGGGCAAUGGACGAGAGUCUGACCCAGCCAUGCCGCGUGCAGGAAGACGGCGUUCUGCGUUGUAAACUGGUUUUAUCUGGGAAGAAAAUGCCCCUGCGGGGGAAAUUGGCGGUACCAGAUGAAUUAGCACCGGCUAACUCCGUGCCAGCAGCCCCGGGUAAUUCGGAGGGUGCAAACCGUUGUNCCGGAUUUAUUUGGGGUUUAAAANGGUGCGUAGCNGGCUAUUUAAAGUCAGUAAUGAAAAAAAUNCGGCUCAACCGGGANCAAGUGCCCAUUGGAUACUNGGAUNANCUUUGANUUAUUGGGA
rnacentral:rRNA from 1 species